GUUUGCGCGCAUUACCAUUACAUUUGCGCGCAAAAAUCAUUACGUUUGCGCGCAGCUUUUAAUUACAUUUGCGCGCAUUUUUUUGACAGGUAAACUCAGGUAAAAUAUGUGAUAAUAAUACUUUUUUAUUCAUUUAUUUGUUCAAUUUUUACAAGUAUAAGUACCCCUUCCGUUAGUCUAAGUCCCCUGCUCACCAACGAGGAGGUGGAAGUGGGAUUUCGAGCAGGAUAAGUCCGUUUUAUUAUGCACAAGCACUAAAUCCUAGAAAUAUAUACAGAUAAAAAUGUUAAAACAUAGCUGAUAUAAAAAGGUAAAACUACUGAUACUACAUGAUUUUACAUGUCGGUACGUGCAGAAAACUUGAAGCCAAUAGCUUUUAGAAACGACAGUCUGUUAACCUCUCCAUCCUGGUAUUUUCUGAAUUGCUCCAUCAAAUAAUCUGUUUUCUCUUUUUCACUUCUGCGCACUACUGCUGCUGUAUCAAGCCCUCUUAGUUUGAUGUAUG
rnacentral:lncRNA from 1 species